AAUGAACGCUGGCGGCGCGCCUAAUACAUGCAAGUCGAGCGAGAAGACGUAGCAAUACGUUUGUAAAGCGGCGAACGGGUGAGGAAUACAUGGGUAACCUACCCUCGAGUGGGGAAUAACUAGCCGAAAGGUUAGCUAAUACCGCGUACGCUUCUUGGACUUCGGUUCAGGGAGGAAAGCGAUACCGUGGGUAUCGCGCUCUUGGAUGGGCUCAUGUCCUAUCAGCUUGUUGGUGAGGUAACGGCUCACCAAGGCUUUGACGGGUAGCUGGUCUGAGAGGACGAUCAGCCACACUGGCACUGCGACACGGGCCAGACUCCUACGGGAGGCAGCAGUAAGGAAUAUUGCG
rnacentral:rRNA from 1 species